UUUCUUUAAAGCCCAAUAAUUUGUUAAGCAUAUGUGUCGGUACAGAGAUUAGCAUGGCCACUGUGCAAGGAUGACACGCAAAUUUGUGAAGUGGUCCAUAUUUUU
rnacentral:snRNA from 14 species